rnacentral:rRNA from 1 species
AUUGAACGCUGGCGGCAGGCUUAACACAUGCAAGUCGAGCGGAGAUGAGGUGCUUGCACCUUAUCUUAGCGGCGGACGGGUGAGUAAUGCUUAGGAAUCUGCCUAUUAGUGGGGGACAACAUUCCGAAAGGAAUGCUAAUACCGCAUACGUCCUACGGGAGAAAGCAGGGGAUCUUCGGACCUUGCGCUAAUAGAUGAGCCUAAGUCGGAUUAGCUAGUUGGUGGGGUAAAGGCCUACCAAGGCGACGAUCUGUAGCGGGUCUGAGAGGAUGAUACGCCAUACUGGGACUGAGACACGGCCCAGACUCCUACGGGAGGGAGCAGGGGGGAAUAUUGGACAAUUGGGGGAACCCUGAUCAAGCCAUGCAGCGUGUGUGAAGAAGGCCUUAUGGUUGUAAAGCACUUUAAGCGAGGAGGAGGCUACUGAGACUAAUACUCUUGGAUAGUGGACGUUACUCGCAGAAUAAGCACCGGCUAACUCUGUGCCAGCAGCCGCCGUAA